UGGAUGUAAUUUUCAAAUAUUUCAGGAAAUUUUGAAAAUAUGUCAACAAUGUUUAUAUCGUUAAAAAGGGAAUUAAAGGAGCUUUAAUUUGAUGCAAAAACAUUAGGGGGUUUAUAGGGAAAAUUGUGAAGAAAAAUAGGAUCGAACUUAAGGGAGUUUAGAUCAGGUGUUCCUGGAAGUAACUUUUAAAUAUUUCCGGAAAUUUUGGAAAUAUGUCAACAAUGUUUAUAUCGUUGAAAAGGGAAUUAAAGGAGCUUUAAUUUGAUGCAAAAACAUUAUGGGGUUUAUAGGGAAAAUUGUGGAGAAAAAUAGGGUCGAACUUGGGGGAGGUUAGAUCAGGUGUUCCUGGAAGUAACUUUCAAAUAUUUCCGGAAAUUUUGGAAAUAUGUCAACAAUGUUUAUAUCGUUAAAAAGGGAAUUAAAGGAGCUUUAAUUUGAUGCAAAAACAUUAUGGGGUUUAUAGGGAAAAUUGUGAAGAAAAAUAGGGUCGAACUUGAGGGAGGUUAGAUCAGGUGUUCCUGGAAGUAAUUUUCAAAUAUUUCCGGAAAUUUUGGAAAUAUGUCAACAAUGUUUAUAUCGUUCAAAAGGGAAUUAAAGGAGCUUUAAUUUGAUGCAAAAACAUUAGGGGGUUUAUAGGGAAAAUUGUGAAAAAAAAUAGGGUCGAACUUGGGGGAGGUUAGAUCAGGUGUUCCUGGAAGUAAUUUUCAAAUAUUUCCGGAAAUUUUGGAAAUAUGUCAACAAUGUUUAUAUCGUUCAAAAGGGAAUUAAAGGAGCUUUAAUCUGAUGCAAAAACAUUAUGGGGUUUAUAGGGAAAAUUGUGAAGAAAAAUAGGGUCGAACUUGGGGGGAGGUUAGAUCAGGUGUUCCUGGAAGUAACUUUCAAAUAUUUCCGGAAAUUUUGGAAAUAUGUCAACAAUGUUUAUAUCGUUGAAAAGGGAAUUAAAGGACCUUUAAUUUGAUGUAAAAACAUUAGGGGGUUUAUAGGGAAAAUUGUGAAGAAAAAUAGGGUCGAACUUGAGGGAGGUUAGAUCAGGUGUUCCUGGAAGUAACUUUCAAAUAUUUCCGGAUAUUUUGGAAAUAUGUCAACAGUGUUUAUAUCGUUAAAAAGGGAAUUAAAGGAGCUUUAAUUUGAUGUAAAAACAUUAUGGGGUUUAUAGGGAAAAUUGUGAAGAAAAAUUGGGUAGAACUUGAGGGAGGUUAGAUCAGGUGUUCCCGGAAGUAACUUUCAAACAUGUAAUUUUAUAAAAAUGACAUUUACACGUAUGUAUAGCUUCACCUUUUUCCGAUCCACUAAUAGUACUACCACCUUUUUACCUUUAAAUUACUAGAAGUUACGGUACUUUAGCUAGGACAACAUUUGUUUCGAAAUUCUCGUCCCACAUCGUUCUGAAUAGAAUUUUAAUUUUUAAUACAUCAGGUUAUAUUUGUUCAACGAACCAUUUUAUGAAAAUGAUAUUUACAUGUACGUAUAGCCCCAUCUUCCUCCUAUCCAUUGACGGUACUACCAUCUUUUUAUCUUUAAAUGGCAAAGAGUUAUGGUACUUUAACUGAGACAAUGUCUGUUUGAAAACUCUUGCUCCACAUCGCCCCGAAUAACAAUUUACAAUUUCUCAUAAAACCAAGUGGUACCGCUCAACGGAGCACUCUACAAAAAUGAUAAUCACACCCACGUAUAGCUCCGUCCUUCUCCAAUCCAUCUUCGCUGGUUCCUUUUUCCUCAAAAAGGUGUUUUAAUAAUAAUCGAUGACAACGUGGUAGGGUCGCGUGCCGACGACGUCUCGGCGUCUCCCGGUCUCCCGAAACAUCGAGACGCCCGUUUUGCCGCAUCUCCUGAAUUAUUCCCGUUCCGGACGACGACGAUGUUGUUGUUGAUGAUGACGAUGCGCUUCAAUGCGGAACUUCCGAAAAAUCCAAGUGUCGCUUUUGAACGUGUGGAAAUGCUGGAACGGGGUAAAACUCCAUCAAAAUCGUUAAUUUUCAAUUUUUUCUGGAAAUAUCGGGAAAACUGGAACAUGAAAACAGGGAAUGAGGCCCCUCCUCACUCCCCCUCCUAUCGGUUUGAUUUUAUCGCGGAUUAAUGGAAAAAUUGACAUGCAAUUCACUUGUUUCUUUUGUCUUUUGUUUGUUUGAUAUAAUUUGUAUCGGGCACGACAUCAUGGUUUGACGAGGCUGAUUUGGCAACAAUGCUAUAAUUAUUACUGAGUUGUUGAACCUGAUAGUUAAAAACGUUUAUUUUUAGUUGAAUUUCAACAAUAAAUAUCGGAUAAAAUGUCAUGCCUAUAAAUUUCUUAAAAAUCAUUUUUUUCUCAGGCAAUUGUUUUUUUGCAAAAAAAACGUUUUUUAUUAGGUCUACCCUUGGC
rnacentral:lncRNA from 1 species